rnacentral:rRNA from 1 species
ACUCCUACGGGAGGCAGCAGUGAGGAAUAUUGGACAAUGGGCGAGGGCCUGAUCCAGCCAUGCCGCGUGCAGGAAGAAUGCCCUAUGGGUAGUAAAACUGCUUUUAUACGGGAAGAAAAAGGGGCACGUGUGCCCUGUUGACGGUACCGUAAGAAUAAGGACCGGCUAACUCCGUGCCAGCAGCCGCGGUAAUACGGAGGGUCCGAGCGUUAUCCGGAAUUAUUGGGCGUAAAGCGCAUGCAGGUGGUUUGUUAAAGUCAGAUGUGAAAGCCCGGGGCUCAACCUCGGAAUUGCAUUUGAAACUGGCAGACUAGAGUACUGUAGAGGGGGUAGAAUUUCAGGUGUAGCGGUGAAAUGCGUAGAGAUCUGAAGGAAUACCGGUGGCGAAGGCGGCCCCUGGACAGAUACUGACACUCAGAUGCGAAAGCGAU